UAGGACGGCCCCUAUCUAAAAUAGAAAUAUAAAGCAGAGUCCAUGAGGUCGCACUCGCUGUACCUGCCACUAAAGUUGGACUACAGAGAACAAUCUGAUCUCUUCUUUUCCACAUGUGAUGGCGCAUUGGUUUCCUUUCCCAUUGGAGCCAAGUUAACUAUACCGACGCUUCUCCACCCCACAGGGACAUUACUGAACAUGAAUCGUCAGUAACACAGUCUGUAUAAAACUCGAAGCAUCUCUGAAGCUACAAAAACAAAGACAUGAGAUCGCCUUGGAUUCUUAUUCCAGCUCUCCUGAGUACAACACGCUACCAGUGAGGUACACACAAUAAAUCAAAUUACCUUUACAGACAAAGGAAAUAACUUGAUAUUUACUGAAAAUAUACAUUCAAUAUACCUCAAAGUUGUUUUUGUAAUCCAGUUCAUAAUUGUAACAUCAUAAUGGCUACAAUCCUUUAAGCAUGUUUUGAUGCUUUUACAGGCUUUGAAGCAUGAUCUGAUGUGUGUGGUGUAAAGCUUUGGAGUUAGUCCUAUUUAAGUUACACUCCAACCCCGAUUAGCGGGAAGUUUUGGAACUGGUAGCGAGAAGCCUGUGACGCAUGUGGAGGAGACGCGAGUCAGACUCAACUCAGUUUUGCAGUAAUAUUGCCGGUUUAUUCAUUACGUGACAGGCUUGCUCUUGGAAUCUUGUAGACAGUUCAUACAUGAACUGUAGAAACAUCCAAAGCUGAUAAACGUGUUACUAGAGAAGUAAAAAAUAAGGACAAAAAUAAGAAUUUGGUCCAGUGAUGUCCAUGUACAGUACAAUCCAAAAAACCUCCUCUGCGUGGCAUACAUACACAUGCUGUAAUGUAGCUGGCCCGAG